rnacentral:rRNA from 1 species
AACGAACGCUGGCGGCAUGCCUAACACAUGCAAGUCGAACGAGACCUUCGGGUCUAGUGGCGCACGGGUGCGUAACGUGUGGGAACCUGCCCUUAGGUUUGGAAUAACCCCCCGAAAGGGGUGCUAAUACCGGAUAAUGUCGUCGGACCAAAGAUUUAUCGCCUCUGGAUGGGCCCGCGUUGGAUUAGCUAGUUGGUAGGGUAAAAGCCUACCAAGGCGACGAUCCAUAGCUGGUCUGAGAGGGUGAUCGGCCACACUGGGACUGAGACACGGCCCAGACUCCUACGGGAGGCAGCAGUGGGGAAUAUUGGACAAUGGGCGAAAGCCUGAUCCAGCGAUGCCGCGUGAGUGAUGAAGGCCUUAGGGUUGUAAAGCUCUAUUAGCCGGGAUGAUAAUGACAGUACCGGGAGAAUAAGCUCCGGCUAACUCCGUG